CAGAAUAUAUCUAAUCCAGACAAAAACUCAUCCGCUUCUUGCAUUUGUAUUGAUUCAGAGAAAGAUACGACAAGAACAUUAAAAAAACAGACUGACACAGCAGAGGCCCAAUUCCCCAAACUGUCUUUGCUGAUUUAUAACUUUAUCUUACUCGGAAGGCUUUAUAGACACCAAGAUAUUCUGUGCUUUAGGAAAACAAAGCCAAGAUUUGCAUCUGUGCUCCCUGAAGGCUUACAAAAACAUCCUUCCAGCCAGAAGACAAUAAUCCCCAAAUCCAUAAAGACAGUCUUUUCAGGGAAAAUAUGAGUCUGCCACAGAGUGAUGAGGACAAUUCCAGGGUUUAAACUUGAGAUGUUUUGAUUGCAACAAUAGCAGAGACCCACUGAAUCAGACUGUGAGAGAGAACAUGUAUUGUUAUACCGUAUGAUUGAGCAGUCGGCAAUUUUAUGACCAAGUGCUGAAAAAUACACAAAUUUCCCUCCAAAAUUAUUAGUGAUUUUCUGUAACUCAAGCAGACUGUCCACAUUCAUUUUCAGCCUCACAAACAGUAAGCAAGGAAAGGGGGGUAGACAAUAGAGUGAAAGGCACCUUUCUUUUCCCCAAUAUCAGGCUUAGGACAGGAAAUCUGGGCUCAGAGGUCUGGCCAUUAACUUCAGGAGUGAUUUAACCACAUAGUUCAACCACAAGUUUUAAGAAAGCCCAACCAAAACACUUAUGUUGGUCUGAGUGUAUUCUUCAUUUGGAAAUUUUGCAGCGUGUUACUUCCCCACCUUUAAGUCCUGUUCUGGCACUAGAUUGCAUAGAUCCCUGCAGUUUGCAUAUCAAGAACACAUUGGAGUGGAUGAUGCUGUCCUCUACAUGCUUCACUGUGCCCUGUCUCAUCUGGAGGAACCUGGGGUUUAUGUGAGGAUCAUGUUCUUUGACUUUUCAAAUGCAUUCAACACCAUCCAACCCAUCAUACUCAAAGACAAGCUCACAGAGAUAGGAGUGAAUCCUUCCUGUGUUUCCUGGAUCACAGAUUACCUGACAGGAAGGCCACAGUUUGUCAGGCUGGGGAACUGUGUUUCUGGGACAUUAAUGAGCAGUGCAGGGGCUCCACAAGGGACAGUGCUGGCGCCAUUCCUGUUCACACUGUAUACGUCAGACUUCAAAUACAGCACUGAGUCCUGCCACAUCCAGAAAUACUCAGAUGACACUGCUAUUGUGGCAUGUAUCAGAAAUGGACAAGAGGCUGAAUACAGAGAUCUGAUAAGAGCCUUCAGUGACUGGAGUCACAAAAACUGCCCCCUGCUCAACACCUCAAAGACAAAGGAGAUGGUCAUAGACUUCUGCAGAUCCAAACCCCCUUUUCAGCCAGUUGCAUGGACAUCGAAGUGGUGACAUUAUAUAAAUAUCGAGGUGUACAUCUGGAUAAUAAGUUGGACUGGUCUAAGAACAUAGACUUCAUCUACAGAAAGGGGCAGAGCCACCUCUUUUGCCUAAGAAGACACCAAUCAAUAGACGUCUGUAGUAAGAUGCUGCAGAUGUUUUAUCAGUCUGUGGUGGCAAGUGUUCUGUUCUACUCUGCAGUCUGCUGGGGAGGAAGUAUCAAACACAAAGAUGCAAGGCGUCCUAACAAACUGGUGAAAAAGGCUGGCUCUGUGGUUGGACUCAAGCUGGACUCAGUGGAGGAUGUGGUUUAGAGAUGUACACUGAGGAAGGUGGAGACUAUUCUAAAGAACAUGGAUCACCCACUUCACAACACCCUGAUGGACCAAAGGGCCAAUGGUGGUGGACGGCUCUUCUCUCUUCGCUGCAGGACAGAAAGAUUCUUCAGAUCUUUUGUACCAACAGCCAUCAGGCUUUAUAAUUCUUUUACAAAUAGUGGAUGACUUUUUUGAGACAUGACAAAUGAGACUACAGAUGAUUAAAUUUCCCUUCAGGGAUAAAUAAAGUUUGUCUUAUUUUUUAGAUUGGG